rnacentral:rRNA from 1 species
AUUGAACGCUGGCGGCAUGCCUUACACAUGCAAGUCGAACGGCAGCACGGGAGCAAUCCUGGUGGCGAGUGGCGAACGGGUGAGUAAUAUAUCGGAACGUGCCCAGUCGUGGGGGAUAACGUAGCGAAAGCUACGCUAAUACCGCAUACGAUCUAUGGAUGAAAGCGGGGGAUCGCAAGACCUCGCGCGAUUGGAGCGGCCGAUAUCAGAUUAGGUAGUUGGUGAGGUAAAGGCUCACCAAGCCGACGAUCUGUAGCUGGUCUGAGAGGACGACCAGCCACACUGGAACUGAGACACGGUCCAGACUCCUACGGGAGGCAGCAGUGGGGAAUUUUGGACAAUGGACGCAAGUCUGAUCCAGCCAUUCCGCGUGCAGGAUGAAGGCCCUCGGGUUGUAAACUGCUUUUGUACGGAACGAAAAGGUUUCUAUUAAUACUAGGAGCUCAUGACGGUACCGUAAGAAUAAGCACCGG